rnacentral:snRNA from 2 species
AUGGCUUCUCCUCCCUUUGGCUAAGAUCGUGUAGUAUCUGUUCUUAUCAUUUAAUAUCUGAUACGUCCUCUCUCUGAGGACAAUAUACUCAAUAUACUCUAUCUGCUAAUGUUGGUGUUAAAACCAACAAAAAUAACUGUGGUUUUUGUUAAGCGCUU